GUGACAAUGGAAGCAGGGUGUGAAUGACUGGCUCAGAUUUCACUAAAGACACAAACUUUGUGUAGAGAAGCUCAACCUUGUCAACCUCUUCACUCACGAAAAAUGAGAAAACAUCAUCAGCAAUGGCCUGAGCAUCUUUAGCAGUGGGCAGAUUGCUUCCUUCAAGAAAUUUAUCUACAGGGAUGUAAGGCCUGCGGAGGAAAUAAGAAUUACCCUUUUUGCCAACACUGAUAAUAGUGUAAUCAAGGCCAAGAGCUUUCAAAUCUCUAAUCCUGGCCUCAGCUUUUUUGAUGAUAUAGUUGUUAAAACCACCACAAAGACCCCGGUCACCGGUGACAACCACCAACGCCACUUUCUUGACAGGUCUUACUUUGGUGAGUGGUACAUCAAUGUCAUCUGUCUGGAGCUGCUCAUUGAUGUUGUAAAGUACCUCAACCAAAGUCUCAGAGAAAGGCCUCGCACCCACAACAGCUUCUUGUGCUCUUCUGACUUUAGCAGCAGCCACAAGCUUCAUAGCCUCAGUAAUCUUCUGUGUGUUCUUGACAGAGUCAAUUCGAUCACGCAGAUCACGGAGACCACAUCGGACAGGGAUAACUGAUGAUGAUCUUGAGGGGUUUGAAGGGCCUGAUAGGUUGUGGUUAGGAAGCUGAAAAGAGCUGACAGCAGAGCGGAAAGAAAGGGCAGAGGAUUCAGAAAGAGAUGGUUUUGAGGACACCAACAUUGUCAAAUUUGAACAAGACAUGUUUUUUCUUUUAGCUCAGGAAUGUGGCUGCUCCAAAGAGUGAAGUGGGAGGGAUAAAGAUUGGGUUUUGUUUUGAGGAUUCUUAUCAGAAUGGUGGAAAUCUUGGGUGUUUUGGUGGUGUGGGGUGAAGGGAGAAGGAGGGAAUGAGAGGUGGAGGGAAGGG
rnacentral:misc_RNA from 1 species